rfam:Cajanus cajan CcLG01_269, whole genome shotgun sequence.
CUAGAUUGUGAUGAUUAUUUCCCCAGAUGAUCGACGCUGAACAUAAUGUGCGAUUUUGUUUCUUUAGAGAAAUCAAGCCAAAUAAGUCUGAUCCAU